rnacentral:rRNA from 1 species
UUUCGAAUCAUUCACAAUGGGGGAAACCCUGAUGGUGCGACGCCGCGUGAGGGAUGAAGGCCUUCGGGUUGUAAACCUCUGUCACAUGGGACUAAAGGUAAGGUUAGUAGCCUUAUUUGAAUUAACCAUGAGAGGAAGUAGUGGCUAACUCCGUGCCAGCAGCCGCGGUAAUACGGAGACUACGAGCGUUACUCGGAUUCACUGGGCGUAAAGGGAGCGCAGGCGGUUAUGUGUGUUAGAUGUGAAAUACCGGAGCUUAACUUCGGAAUUGCGUCUAAAACUAUAUAACUAGAGACUUGGAGAGGUAAGCGGAAUUUCUGGGGUAGCGGUAAAAUGCGCAGAUAUCAGAAGGAACACCGAUGGCGAAGGCAGCUUACUGGACAAGAUCUGACGCUCAGGCUCGAAAGUGUGGGUAGCAAAAG